rnacentral:rRNA from 1 species
UACGGGGGGGGCAAGCGUUGUUCGGAAUUACUGGGCGUAAAGGGCGCGUAGGCGGCCUGCUAAGUCGGAUGUGAAAUCCCUCGGCUCAACCGAGGAACUGCACUCCGAUACUGGCGGGCUUGAAUCCGGGAGAGGGAUGUGGAAUUCCAGGUGUAGCGGUGAAAUGCGUAGAUAUCUGGAGGAACACCGGUGGCGAAGGCGGCAUCCUGGACCGGUAUUGACGCUGAGGCGCGAAAGCUAGGGGAGCAAACGGGG